rnacentral:rRNA from 1 species
AUGGCUCAGUGAGGCCUUGGGACUGGCUCAGAGAGGUCGGCAACGACCACUCAGAGCCGGAAACUUGGUCAAACUUGGUCAUUUAGAGGAAGUAAAAGUCGUAACAAGGUUUCCGUAGGUACGUAAACAGAUCAGCGCCCUUUUGCAUCUCAUAAUGUAUACUAACUAGUAUCUAGGUGAACCUGCGGAAGGAUCAUUACUGAGUUAGGGACCAUUUGGGCCCGACCUCCAACCCUUUGUCUACCUUACCACGUUGCUUCGGCGGGCCCGUCGACUCCGGUCGACCGCCGGAGGGUCUUUUAGACCCUUUGGCCCGCGUCCGUCGAUGGCCCCCACUCAAACUCUUGGUGAAAUGUGUCGUCUGAGUAACAAACAAAAAAAUCAAAAACUUUCAACAACGGAUCUCUUGGUUCUGGCAUCGAUGAAGAACGCAGCGAAAUGCGAUAAGUAAUGCGAAUUGCAGAAUUCCGUGAGUCAUCGAAUCUUUGAACGCACAUUGCGCCCUUUGGCAUUCCGAAGGGCAUGCCUGUUCGAGCGUCAUUAUCAACCCUCAGGCCUGGCUUGUCGUUGGACCCGUGGGUGAUGCAGUCACCCGGUCCCAAAGAUAAUGACGGUGUCCGUAGAACUCUCGGUACAAUGAGCUUUUAUUAAGCACGUACUGAACGGGCUUGCGGACCCGGUCUGUCAACAUUCUUUCUCAGGUUGACCUCGGAUCAGGUAGGGAUACCCGCUGAACUUAAGCAUAUCAAUAAGCGGAGGAAAAGAAACCAACAGGGAUUGCCCUAGUAACGGCGAGUGAAGCGGCAACAGCUCAAAUUUGAAAUCUGGCCCUCUUCGGGUCCGAGUUGUAAUUUGUAGAGGAUGUUUCGGGCACCGCUCCGGUUUAAAUUUCUUGGAACAGAAUGUCAGAGAGGGUGAGAGUCCCGUCUUGAACCGGUAGUAGGGUCCAUGUGAAACUCCUUCGACGAGUCGAGUUGUUUGGGAAUGCAGCUCAAAAUGGGUGGUAAAUUUCAUCUAAAGCUAAAUAUUGGCCAGAGACCGAUAGCGCACAAGUAGAGUGAUCGAAAGAUGAAAAGCACUUUGAAAAGAGAGUUAAACAGUAUGUGAAAUUGUUGAAAGGGAAGCGCUUGUAACCAGACUUGCGCACGGUGGUUCCCCCUUCCUUUUGGUUGGGUUAUUCCGUCGUGUCCAGGCCAACAUCGGUUUAGGUGGUCGGUUAAAGGCCUUGGGAAUGUAUCUUCUCUUCGGGGAAGACUUAUAGCCCAGGGUGUCAUGCGGCCCACCUGGACCGAGGAACGCGCUUCGGCGAGGAUGUUGGCGUAAUGGUUGCAAGCGACCCGUCUUGAAACACGGACCAAGGAGUCUAACAUCUAUGCGAGUGUUUGGGUGUCAAACCCGUACGCGGAAUGAAAGUGAACGGAGGUAGGAAGCCUACAGGCUGCACUAUCGACCGAUCCUGAUGUCUUCGGAUGGAUUUGAGUAAGAGCAUAGCUGUUGGGACCCGAAAGAUGGUGAACUAUGCCUGAAUAGGGUGAAGCCAGAGGAAACUCUGGUGGAGGCUCGCAGCGGUUCUGACGUGCAAAUCGAUCGUCAAAUUUGGGUAUAGGGGCGAAAGACUAAUCGAACC